UUAAGUUCAGCGGGUAGUCCUACCUGAUUUGAGGUCAAAUUGUCAAGUAAUGUUGUCCUCGCGGACGGUUAGAAGCGAGUCCGAACCAAGUCAACGACGUAGAUAAUUAUCACACCGAUAGACGGAGGUUCAGAUAUGAAUCUCGCUAAUACAUUUCAGGGGAGCAGACCGCGCUGAGGCAGCCUGCACAAACCCCCACA
rnacentral:misc_RNA from 1 species